AUUGAACGCUGGCGGCAUGCCUUACACAUGCAAGUCGAACGGCAGCAUGGAGAGCUUGCUCUCUGAUGGCGAGUGGCGAACGGGUGAGUAAAGCAUCGGAACGUACCGUGUAGUGGGGGAUAACGUAGCGAAAGUUACGCUAAUACCGCAUACGCACUGAGGUGGAAAGCAGGGGAUCGUAAGACCUUGCGCUAUACGAGCGGCCGAUGUCAGAUUAGCUAGUUGGUAGGGUAAAGGCCUACCAAGGCGACGAUCUGUAGCGGGUCUGAGAGGAUGGUCCGGCAAACUGGGACUGAGACACGGCCCAGAAUCCUACGGGAGGCAGCAGUGGGGAAUUUUGGACAAUGGGGGCAACCCUGAUCCAGCCAUGCCGCGUGAGUGAAGAAGGCCUUCGGGUUGUAAAGCUCUUUCGGCCGGGAAGAAAUCGCACAGGCUAAUACCCUGUGUGGAUGACGGUACCGGCAUAAGAAGCACCGGCUAACUACGUGCCAGCAGCCGCCGCGG
rnacentral:rRNA from 1 species